rnacentral:rRNA from 1 species
UACGGAGGAUGCGAGCGUUAUCCGGAUUUAUUGGGUUUAAAGGGUGCGUAGGCGGGAUGCCAAGUCAGCGGUAAAAAUGCGGUGCUCAACGCCGUCGAGCCGUUGAAACUGGCGUUCUUGAGUGGGCGAGAAGUAUGCGGAAUGCGUGGUGUAGCGGUGAAAUGCAUAGAUAUCACGCGGAACUCCGAUUGCGAAGGCAGCAUACCGGCGCCCUACUGACGCUGAGGCACGAAAGCGUGGGUAUCGAACAGG